GCCCUGGUGGCACAGUGGUUAAAGCAUUUGACUGCUAACCAAAAGGUCAGUGGUUUGAAACCACCGUGGCU
rnacentral:tRNA from 1 species